ACAGGUAUUUGCCUCGCUCGGUACCUGCUUCCCAGAGUAACAUUUCAUGGCCAGGUAAUUGUACAGUGACUACUUUCACCCAACAGUUUGCCUCAGUCUUCACAGUUCUGUCCAUGACCAACAGAUUCACAUUUCUUGUAUGGCGGGAAUAAAAUGUCCAUAAAUUGUUACCGUGUCGUUGGCGGACUACCUUUGAAAACAGACCCAACAAUGGCCACCAGCUGAAGCACCAGCAUGGCAUUUUCUGUUAAACUCAGUGUGUAUCACUACACCACGCAUUAUUUAUCUUCAUUUUAACCAAAGAGUGCAUACCAUUAUGGGAAUAUAUAGAAAAAUGCAUUAGUUCUCUAGUCCAGUGUCUGUGUGAAUUGCAUGAUCACCAACCGUGAAAGGAGCGCCCUCGGGUGAGCGUCUGCUAACAUGCCGCCAGACGGGAAGCAUCUCCUGUGGAAGACUCGCCGAGGAAAGGGGAAGAGGCAGACUGAGCCAUUAGAGAUGCCGUUGCAAAGACCAUCAUCAUCCACAUCUGACCCGACACAAAGAUUGGGAGUCUUCCUGAGCCACUGGGACACCAAGGCCAUGGGUGACAGCAGAAAGCCAGCCACAAAAUAAGAAGGUUAAGCAAAGAAAUGCGUGAAGGAAGGCAGGAGAAUGACCCAAGAGGCAACUCAGAGCAUACAGUAGCUGAGAGGAAGUAACUCCCGCCAGCGUUGCCAGACGUACGAUAAUUAUUGUACAAGAACAAUAAUUUUUGCCAGUGUACGAUGUACAAUGGGACUCAUACGAUUAUACGAUAAUUUGGGAAUUCGUACGAUAUUUUUUAUGAAAUAUACAAUAAUUUGAGUGAAAAUUAAUGUUAUCAAUAUCAGGUAAUGCAAAAUUUCUUACAUAAAUUUGAACAACAAAAUAAAAACCUGAAAGUGCCAGAUGUAUUGCUUUCCUUACGAGACAAGUCUCACCAUACGGGUGAACAACAGGUCUCGUUCUUGUCUGCGACCAGUCCGUCCGCUACCCGAGUCCCCGUCCCAUAGUCUCGUAGUCGUCAGUCAGUCGUCAGUCUCGCGCGUCGUGACGCAGGACAGGACUUUCAGUUUUCGUUAAAAAUGUCUGAAGAGAAAGGAAAGGAGAGAGAGGAGGCAUGUGGUGCAGUGCCGAAAAAAGCGAGACGGAAACAGAAAUAUAGGCCCGAGUGGGACAAACAGUUUCCGUGGGUGGGGCCUGCAAAGAAGGAUGCUUGUAAGGCCAUGUGCCUUAUUUGCAGUGUUGAAAUAACCGCCCAGCUCACAACUCUCAAGUUGCACGAAAACACUGCAAAGCACAAGAAAAUGUGUGCGCCAUCCUCAUCCAAAAUACUUAUGGAGUCAUUUACAAGUGCACGUGGUGAUAAUGAAACUAGUAAAAGUGAUUCUGUUAAGGCUGCUGAAAUAAGGCUUACUGCAUUUAUGGUGGAACACAAUAUAAGUUUCCGUGUGGCCGAUCAUCUGUGUGAAGUCCUGAAAGGUUUCUUCUCUGACUCCGCUAUUGCAAAGGAAUUGAAAAUGAAAAGAACAAAAUGUCAAAGAGUGUGUGGUAAUGUUAUGGCACACUCUCACAAACAAGAGCUCAUUAACAUCUUGAAGCAGAACAAGUUGAGCAUUCUUGUGGAUGAAUCCACAGAUAUAUCGGUCUGUCAGAAUUUAUGCAUCAUGGUAAGAGUGGUUGAAGGAAAUACUGUUGUCACCAAAUUUUUGGAUUUAGUGCCAUUAUUUAGUAGUGAUCCUAGUAAAGCUAAUGAAGGUGCUACAGCUGCCAGGUUGUUUUCAGAGAUAAUGAAAACAUUUACUGAAAAUGGUAUACGUACUUGUAAUAUCAUUGGCUUUGGUUCUGAUGGAUGCAGCACUAUGAUGGUGCCUAAUAACUCUGUGAGUAGCAGGUUAAAGGAACUUUGCCCAGGAAUCUUUAUUAUGAAAUGUGUGUGCCAUUCUGCCCAUAUAUGUGCCUCUGAAGCAUGCAAACAAUUACCUGAUGCUAUUGAACAACUAGCUCAUGAUGUCCACAACACAUUCAAGAACUCUUCAAAACGAUUGGCACAAUUUGUACAAUUUCAAGAGUUUGCUGGGGCUCAAAAGCUUAGGAUUUUAUUGCCAUGUAGAACGCGCUGGCUUUCCUACACGGCUGUUGUGAAAAGGAUGCUUGAGCAGUGGGGCCCUCUUCAGAUGUUGUUUACUGAAUUAAAUUUUCAACAGACGAAAACUUGUGGUAGCACAGUUAGAAGUGCUUAUGAACAACUGCACAAUCCAUUUACCAGGCUUUACUACUGCCUCCUUUCUUCAGUAUUACCAAAGUAUUACCAAAAAGCUGAACCUUUUAUUUCAAAGAGAAAGAGUGGUCAUAACUGAAUUGCACAGGCAAGUUUGUAAUUUAUAUAAAGAAUUGCUACUGGUGUACAUGAACCAUGAAUACAUUGUGAAAACCAUGCUUUCAAAAGUUGAUCCAAGAUAUCAACGUGAGUUCCUGAUGCUAGAGCAGGUGUAUUUGGGUGCAUCUGUCUUAAAAACAAUAACAGACAAUCCAGAAUUAAGCAAGCAAAAAAAAAAAAAAAUGAAAUGUAUGAGUUUCGCUUCCACUGCAGAUUAUUUUUGAUAGUAGCAGCAGAACAGAUCAGGAAGAGAUUUAAUUUCGGAGAUGAAAUCCCUUCAAGAAUGCAUAUGCUGGAGCCAGCCAGUGUUCUAGGCAUCCAGGGCAAAGUGCAAGAGCAAAGUUUGGUGCCCCUCGCGACACACCUUCCCCGAAUCAUUGCCCAGGAUGAUUCUACCCUCCAGCAACUGGACGAUGAGUGGAAGAGGCUUGCCGUAGAAGAUCUGCCUGAAUCCAUUACCAACAUGGCGAAAAAGUGGACAAAAGCAAUUACAACCAGCCUGAUAAAUUUUGGUGUGCCAUAAAAACUCUGGAGGAUAGUGAUGGAAACCCCAAGUUUAAGCUUGUUUCAGACUUUUCACUAGGAUGUCUUUCUUUGCCUCAUGCUAAUGCUGACUGUGAGCGCUGCUUCUCUAGUGUCAACCGUGUGAAAACAAAAGACAGAAGUAAGCUAAUAACAGAAACCGUAAGAGACAUCAUACUAGCGAAGCAGUGUGUUGCUUCCACAUCCAGCAGUGACUGUACGACCUUCAAGCCAUCAAUCAAAGUCAAUGAUAAAAAACAUGACAUCAAGCGUGCUAUAUUCCUCCAAUGAAGAGAGUGCCGGGGCUGCUGACGACGUGCCGGAUGUAUAUAUAGAAGAACAAGACCAGUAAUCUCCUACAUAGCACUUGCUGUGAGAGAGAGGGGAGACCUGUGCACCGCUGUGCUGCACUGUGCUUGGAUGUCCCUGGUUCACUCCUGAGGCUGUACCAUUCUUGCCCCUAUUGUGAGUAUGUCUCUGUGUGUGUGUGUGUGUGUGUGUGUGUGUGUGUGUGUGUGUGUGUGUGUGUGUGUGUGUGUAGUUGACAAUUACUGAAGGGUUUGUGACUUGACCCGUCCCACAAGUGACAAAGACGGCAU